AUUGCUUCUUGACCUUUUCGCUAAGAUCAAGUGUAGUAUCUGUUCUUAUCAGUUUAAUAUCUGAAAUUCCCUAUCCGAGGACAAUAGGUUAAAUGGGUUUUUGGAGCAGGGAGGUGGAAUAGAAGCUUGCUCCAUUCACGCCACAAAUUGACCCGGUAUUGUAGUACUUCUGGGAACGGUGCACUUUCC
ensembl:snRNA U2 U2 spliceosomal RNA